rnacentral:rRNA from 1 species
UGGGGAAUAUUGCGCAAUGGGGGGAACCCUGANNNAGCCAUGCCGCGUGAAUGAAGAAGGCCUUCGGGUUGUAAAGUUCUUUCGGUAUUGAGGAAGGUCGAUGUGUUAAUAGCACAUCAAAUUGACGUUAAAUACAGAAGAAGCACCGGCUAACUCCGUGCCAGCAGCCGCGGUAAUACGGAGGGUGCGAGCGUUAAUCGGAAUAACUGGGCGUAAAGGGCACGCAGGCGGUUAUUUAAGUGAGGUGUGAAAGCCCUGGGCUUAACCUAGGAAUUGCAUUUCAGACUGGGUAACUAGAGUACUUUAGGGAGGGGUAGAAUUCCACGUGUAGCGGUGAAAUGCGUAGAGAUGUGGAGGAAUACCGAAGGCGAAGGCAGCCCCUUGGGAAUGUACUGACGCUCAUGUGCGAAAGCGUGGGGAGCAAACAGGAUUAGAUACCCUGGUAGUCCACGCUGUAAACGCUGUCGAUUUGGGGGUUGGGGUUUAACUCUGGCGCCCGUAGCUAACGUGAUAAAUCGACCGCCUGGGGAGUACGGCCGCAAGGUUA